rnacentral:rRNA from 1 species
UACGGAGGAUGCAAGCGUUAUCCGGAUUCACUGGGUUUAAAGGGUGCGCAGGCGGGAUGAUAAGUCAGAGGUGAAAUCCUACGGCUCAACUGUAGAACUGCCUUUGAUACUGUCGUUCUUGAGUAAAGUUGGAGUGGGCGGAAUGUGUUGUGUAGCGGUGAAAUGCUUAGAUAUAACACAGAACACCGAUCGCGAAGGCAGCUCACUAAGCUUUAACUGACGCUCAUGCACGAAAGCGUGGGGAUCAAACAGG